GCUCGAUUAGGGAGCAUGCGCACUGAAACAGGAAGGCUACAGAGAAGACCAGCAUGGCCUCUGUGCGAGGGUGACAUUCAAAUUAAUGAAGUGUUCCGUAUUCUU